rnacentral:rRNA from 1 species
AUGCGUUGUUGGGUAGGGGAGCGUUCUGUAAGCCUGCGAAGGUGUGCUGUGAGGCAUGCUGGAGGUAUCAGAAGUGCGAAUGCUGACAUAAGUAACGAUAAAGCGGGUGAAAAGCCCGCUCGCCGGAAGACCAAGGGUUCCUGUCCAACGUUAAUCGGGGCAGGGUGAGUCGACCCCUAAGGCGAGGCCGAAAGGCGUAGUCGAUGGGAAACAGGUUAAUAUUCCUGUACUUGGUGUUACUGCGAAGGGGGGACGGAGAAGGCUAUGUUGGCCGGGCGACGGUUGUCCCGGUUUAAGCGUGUAGGCUGGUUUUCCAGGCAAAUCCGGAAAAUCAAGGCUGAGGCGUGAUGACGAGGCACUACGGUGCUGAAGCAACAAAUGCCCUGCUUCCAGGAAAAGCCUCUAAGCAUCAGGUAACAUCAAAUCGUACCCCAAACCGACACAGGUGGUCAGGUAGAGAAUACCAAGGCGCUUGAGAGAACUCGGGUGAAGGAACUAGGCAAAAUGGUGCCGUAACUUCGGGAGAAGGCACGCUGAUAUGUAGGUGAAGUCCCUCGCGGAUGGAGCUGAAAUCAGUCGAAGAUACCAGCUGGCUGCAACUGUUUAUUAAAAACACAGCACUGUGCAAACACGAAAGUGGACGUAUACGGUGUGACGCCUGCCCGGUGCCGGAAGGUUAAUUGAUGGGGUUAGCGCAAGCGAAGCUCUUGAUCGAAGCCCCGGUAAACGGCGGCCGUAACUAUAACGGUCCUAAGGUAGCGAAAUUCCUUGUCGGGUAAGUUCCGACCUGCACGAAUGGCGUAAUGAUGGCCAGGCUGUCUCCACCCGAGACUCAGUGAAAUUGAACUCGCUGUGAAGAUGCAGUGUACCCGCGGCAAGACGGAAAGACCCCGUGAACCUUUACUAUAGCUUGACACUGAACAUUGAGCCUUGAUGUGUAGGAUAGGUGGGAGGCUUUGAAGUGUGGACGCCAGUCUGCAUGGAGCCGACCUUGAAAUACCACCCUUUAAUGUUUGAUGUUCUAACGUGGACCCGUAAUCCGGGUUGCGGACAGUGUCUGGUGGGUAGUUUGACUGGGGCGGUCUCCUCCUAAAGAGUAACGGAGGAGCACGAAGGUUGGCUAAUCCUGGUCGGACAUCAGGAGGUUAGUGCAAUGGCAUAAGCCAGCUUGACUGCGAGCGUGACGGCGCGAGCAGGUGCGAAAGCAGGUCAUAGUGAUCCGGUGGUUCUGAAUGGAAGGGCCAUCGCUCAACGGAUAAAAGGUACUCCGGGGAUAACAGGCUGAUACCGCCCAAGAGUUCAUAUCGACGGCGGUGUUUGGCACCUCGAUGUCGGCUCAUCACAUCCUGGGGCUGAAGUAGGUCCCAAGGGUAUGGCUGUUCGCCAUUUAAAGUGGUACGCGAGCUGGGUUUAGAACGUCGUGAGACAGUUCGGUCCCUAUCUGCCGUGGGCGCUGGAGAACUGAGGGGGGCUGCUCCUAGUACGAGAGGACCGGAGUGGACGCAUCACUGGUGUUCGGGUUGUCAUGCCAAUGGCACUGCCCGGUAGCUAAAUGCGGAAGAGAUAAGUGCUGAAAGCAUCUAAGCACGAAACUUGCCCCGAGAUGAGUUCUCCCUGACCCUUUAAGGGUCCUGAAGGAACGUUGAAGACGACGACGUUGAUAGGCCGGGUGUGUAAGCGCAGCGAUGCGUUGAGCUAACCGGUACUAAUGAACCGUGAGGCUUAACCUU